GCCAGCAGCCAUCUCACCCUGCAGCUCCCAGCUGGCAGCCCACCCACUGGAGCUCAGCAGGUGUGAGCCUGGUCAGUACCUGGAGGGGAGAACUCCUGGGAAAGCUGAGGCUGCUGCUGGAA
rnacentral:rRNA from 1 species